CACGUAGGGCGCAAGCGUUGUCCGGAAUUAUUGGGCGUAAAGAGCUCGUAGGCGGACUGUCACGUCUGCUGUGAAAAGCUGGGGCUUAACCCUGGCCUUGCAGUGGAUACGGGCAGACUAGAGGUAGGUAGGGGAGAAUGGAAUUCCCGGUGUAGCGGUGAAAUGCGCAGAUAUCGGGAGGAACACCGGUGGCGAAGGCGGU
rnacentral:rRNA from 1 species